CAGCCGCCGCGGUAAUACGAAGGGGGCUAGCGUUGCUCGGAAUCACUGGGCGUAAAGGGUGCGUAGGCGGGUCUUUAAGCCAGGGGUGAAGUCCUGGAGCUCAACUCCAGAACUGCCUUUGAUACUGAAGAUCUUGAGUUCGGGAGAGGUGAGUGGAACUGCGAGUGUAGAGGUGAAAUUCGUAGAUAUUCGCAAGAACACCAGUGGCGAAGGCGGCUCACUGGCCCGAUACUGACGCUGAGGCACGAAAGCGUGGGGAGCAAACAGGAUUAGAGACCCGCGUAGUCCCUGUCUCUUAUAC
rnacentral:rRNA from 1 species